rnacentral:rRNA from 1 species
UACGUAGGGUGCAAGCGUUAAUCGGAAUUAUUGGGCGUAAAGGGUGCGCAGGCGGUUCUGUAAGUCAGAUGUGAAAUCCCCGGGCUUAACCUGGGAACUGCGUUUGAAACUGCAGAGCUAGAGUGCGGCAGAGGGAGGUGGAAUUCCAUGUGUGGCAGUGAAAUGCGUAGAGAUAUGGAAGAACAUCGAUGGCGAAGGCAACCUCCUGGGCUAGCACUGACGCUCAUGCACGAAAGCGUGGGGAGCAAACAGG